CACCAGAUUCCAGGCAGAGGGACAGAUCAUCGUAUGGCGCCACGUUAUGAAGAAGUGGAACGUCAGUAUGCCUCCUUACCAAGGAAGAGACCUCCGUGGAUAGUUCUGCUCACGGUACACACCUCCUGAACAUCUGGAUUUAAAAAAAACAAGAAGAUGGACCGCGCUUCAUACAUUUCAACAGUUGCAGCUGUGAAAUGUUAACAUCUGGCAACAGUCUAAUGACCAUCUGCUGUUCCUGCGCUGCUACAAGCUUCUUCUUUCUUCCAGGAAUUCUCGAAGUUCUAUUGGACAGUUAAAUGAUAAUAAAUGUGUUUCUGCAUGCAUGCAAAGUUCUGUCUCCCAAUUACAUACAUUAUGAAAGCCAACAUGAUGAGUGUGUGUAAAAACUGAGCUCAUAUCAAAUUGUUUGAUGCCAAAUGGAAUGCACAGUAAGUUGUUAUGAUGA